rnacentral:snRNA from 13 species
AUCCUUGUGCAGAGGCAAUAUCAUAGUCUAUGAAGUUCUACUGAGACGUGAUCAUUGCUGGUUGAAAACUUUAACACAAUACCCCGCCUGGCUGACUUGGAAUAUAGUCUGCUGGCCUUGGCCUUCCUUGGCCUCUUCAGUCCAGACUUUAGCCGUCUUCCUCUGUGGUGGCUCCUUCUGCACCAACGGUGUGUACCAAAGAAG